rnacentral:rRNA from 1 species
AGAACGAACGCUGGCGGCAGGCCUCAAACAUGCAAGUCUAGGGGGUGCAGCAAUGCAUCACCGGCGGACGGGUGCGUAACACGUGGGAAUAUACCUUUUGGUUCGGAACAACUGAGGGAAACUUCAGCUAAUACCGAAUGUGUCCUUACGGAGAAAGAUUUAUCGCCAAAAGGAUUAGCCCGCGUCCGAUUAGCUAGUUGGUGAGGUAAUGGCUCACCAAGGCUCCGAUCGGUAGCUGUUCUGAGAGGAAGAUCAGCCACACUGGGACUGAGACACGGCCCAGACUCCUACGGGAGGCAGCAGUUGGGAAUCUUGGACAAUGGGGGAAACCCUGAUCCAGCCAUGCCGCGUGAGUGAUGAAGGCCUUCGGGUUGUAAAACUCUUUCGACGGGACGAUAAUGACGGUACCGUAGAAGAAGCUCCGGCUAACUUCGUGCCAGCAGCCGC